GUAGGGAAUAUUGGACAAUGGGGGCAACCCUGAUCCAGCGACGCCGCGUGAGUGAUGAAGGCCUUCGGGUCGUAAAGCUCUGUUGCAGGGGAAGAACACAAUGACGGUACCCUGCUAGAAAGGAUCGGCUAACUUCGUGCCAGCAGCCGCGGUAAGACGAGGGAUCCUAGCGUUGUUCGGAAUUAUUGGGCGUAAAGCGGGUGCAGGUGGCUUGGUAAGUCAGAUGUGAAAGCCUGGGGCUUAACCCCAGAAGUGCAUUUGAUACUGCUGAGCUUGAGUGCUGGAGAGGCUAUUAGAAUUCCUGGUGUAGUGGCGAAAUACGUAGAUAUCAGGAGGAAUACCGGAGGCGAAGGCGGAUAGCUGGCCAGACACUGACACUCAGACCCGAAAGCGUGGGGAUCAAACAGGAUUAGAAACCCCUGUAGUCC
rnacentral:rRNA from 1 species